rnacentral:lncRNA from 1 species
CUGUGGAUAAGAGCGUCUGCUAAAUGACUUAAAUGUAAAAAAUGUAAAUGUAAUAUACACAUUAUGACAUAAUAAAGAGCUUAAUCUUUCACGAAAUAAAGACAUAGAAGCAUACCCAAUUAUACAGGUUCUACACAUUCCAUUUCUCCAUGGCAAUAGAAUGUAAACAUUCUAUUUUGCACCAAACAUCGCCUACAAUCUAUUCUAAGUGCAGCAUAUUGGACGACAACACAGUCAUUGAUCAUUUGCAACUUUAAGUCAUUCCUGUUAUCUCUAGAGCAUCCCGUAUAUCUAUAGCGCGGCAUUUCUUCCCCAUCUUUCCAUGGAUAGGGUUUGGUGCAUUCCGGAGUUCACUUAUGGUCCCACAAAGGUAAUCUUAGGAGAAAUUAAUUUUAGCAUAGUGUAAAUGCCUGAGCAUAAUGUGCAUAACAAAGCAUAAUUAUUUUCAUUAUCUUCAAAGGAAUUCUGUAGAAGCAGCCUUUAUUUUCAGACUCUGCAGGCCUGCUGGGAGGAAACAUAUUACAAUAAACAGAAGAAGGUCAUGGUCCAUUAUCUGCUGCUCCAGAGUCAAGGCCAGGUCCCGCCCCAUGUCACCACGGAGCACAUGAGCAACUGGCUGGUGUCUCAGGGCAAAAAAUCCUUUAGGGAGAGGGUGUGGAAGGAAACCCUGGAGGAGGGAAACGACCUCGCUCGGCUGGCCUGGGAAGUAAACACUUGCCUAAAAAUGAUGGACAUAGAGCACGAGGCUUUCUGCAAGCUCCGCCGCUCCAUGCACUCCACCUCGCCAGCUGACAUCGAUCCUAAAGUCCACAGCAUCGUGGAGAGAGCUGUGAGGAGCAUUCUGGGCGUGCAGUCCAAUGAGCCCCGUAGCAACCUGCUCAGCCCAUCUCAGGUGGUCGUGGAGGUGGUGCCCAGGCUCCUCCUGGCCCUGUGGCUUCAGCCAGAGGAAGGCCAUUCAGAGCACCCAAUCCUAAUAAGCGGGAUGGCCGUGGGCAUGGUGGCGGCCGUAGUGGAGAAGCUCUCCUGCAUGUUAAAGGACCCUUCACAUCACAUCCCUUUCUCUCGGGCUGCUGCUUUUGACUCUGUGCGGUCGAUCCUCGGGAGAAUCAGUCAGUCCUUCUCCACCGAUGACCUCCAGAGCCCUUUUUAUAUGAGCUCUGUCUGUGCCUUUGUGGCGAACGAGGUUCAGAGCCGCUUCCAGCCCCCUGCAGCCACCCUACCAGUCCCCCCUGUCCUCCCGGUGGCCGUC